rnacentral:misc_RNA from 1 species
CAACCCUCGAGCGCUGCUUGGUAUUGGAUGUCACUGUCACUGUUGCAGUGCAUCUCAAAGUUAUUGGUGGCAGCAUUCAGCUUCUGGUGUAGUAAAUUUCUCGCCAUGGAGCUGAUGUGUGACUGCCAGAACCCCUAAUGUAUUAAA